ensembl:lncRNA
GCCAACUGGUAGGUAACGGGGCGCCGGCGAUUAAAUCAAUCCCACAGUCGUACGGCUGGUGGGGCGGCAGAGAGGAAGCUUUCUCCUUGCUAAACACUUGGGCCAAAUCAUGAUACUCCGGUGGAACUGCCGACAGGUCAGAGAGGGCGACUGGCUCCGCGGAGCUGGUGACAAUCGCACUCGGACUGGCGGAGCGCAGAAACUGUUCAUGGCAAUUAGUGCCCCACCCGGUGAUGCUCCGGCUAGCCCAGUCGAUCUGUGGGUUAUGUUGUUGGAGCCAGGGAUAGCCUAACACUAGAGUAGCAUCCGGCUAUUUAAAGAGAAAGAGACAGAUCUGCUCAGUUUGGUUACUGUAGGGACAGAGUAAUUUUCAGUGCAAUGAGUAACUGUAGUCAGGGGGCUUCCAUUAGACUUGGAGAGUUUCAGAAAGGGCGACAAUAGGUAGACCCAAUUUGUAGGCUAGCAAUUCAUUAAAAAAAAACUCUGCUCAGCCCCAGAAUCGAUUAGUGCGCUGCACGGUUGAAUGAGGAACAGGAAAAUCAAUUUGGCCGAGCAUCUGAGGUGGGGAGUAAUGUUAGCGGAGACACUUGUCAGUAUUCCCACCACUACUGACGGGCGGACUCUUUUACCCGCUUCGGGCACGUAUCAGCAAAGUGUCCCCUUUUCCCACACACAAAACACUCACCCAUGCACAGUCUUCUCCAGCUAGCGGCACUGAACCGAGCCCAUCCAAGUUGCAUCGGCUGCUCCUCCUCCUCCACUGGCUCUUUAUCAUCUUCUUCUCUCCACUCAGCAGAAGACAGUUCAGGAAGCCUCCCCGAAGCCCAAUCUCCGCCCAUGCCGCCUCCUCGGCCAGGAUCCAGAAAUCCACAGAGAGAUCCACCACACUCCUCCGUCCCUGCUUCAGGGUAAAAAAACGAUUAGCCGCACAGUCCGGGUUUGACCCCUUGUCAAAAACACAAUGGAAUUUGCUCAAGAAAUCCUGAUAAGAGAUGUUAGGUUGAACAUUCAAAACUGCUUGUGCCCACUGCAACGCCCGACCCAUCAUUAAUUCCACCAUUGGAGUAAUUUUUGAACAAUCAGAGCCAUAAGCUUGUGUCGCCUGCC